AACAAGUUCAACAAGAUAUAUGAGGUCAGUAAACACGUUGAUCUGACUGCCGACAGUUUCAUCGGCAGUAUAUGGUCUCCUGGGUAUCCGGGUUUAUAUGGAGGGACAUACCAUCUUACCUGGAGGAUAUAUUCAGGAUCAUUGACAGAAGCCAUUCGUAUGGCUGUUGAAGAAUCACAUCUUCCGUACAACCCUAACUGUAGCAGUGAUUACUUGGAAGUAUAUG